rnacentral:rRNA from 1 species
UUGCUGGGUGGAUUAGUGGCGAACGGGUGAGUAACACGUGAGUAACCUGCCCUUAACUCUGGGAUAAGCCUGGGAAACUGGGUCUAAUACCGGAUAGGAGCGCCUACCGCAUGGUGGGUGUUGGAAAGAUUUAUCGGUUUUGGAUGGACUCGCGGCCUAUCAGCUUGUUGGUGAGGUAAUGGCUCACCAAGGCGACGACGGGUAGCCGGCCUGAGAGGGUGACCGGCCACACUGGGACUGAGACACGGCCCAGACUCCUACGGGAGGCAGCAGUGGGGAAUAUUGCACAAUGGGCGCAAGCCUGAUGCAGCGACGCCGCGUGAGGGAUGACGGCCUUCGGGUUGUAAACCUCUUUCAGUAGGGAAGAAGCGAAAGUGACGGUACCUGCAGAAGAAGCACCGGCUAACUACGUGCCAGCAGCCGCGGUAAUACGUAGGGUGCGAGCGUUAUCCGGAAUUAUUGGGCGUAAAGAGCUCGUAGGCGGUUUGUCGCGUCUGUCGUGAAAGUCCGGGGCUUAACCCCGGAUCUGCGGUGGGUACGGGCAGACUAGAGUGCAGUAGGGGAGACUGGAAUUCCUGGUGUAGCGGUGGAAUGCGCAG